AGUUAAUAUAUAAAACUAUCCACUUUCAUAUUGUAAAGAUAAAAAUUGUCCACUAAGAUAAAAAUAAUAAAAACUGUCCACUUUUUGAUUGAAAAGACAAAAAUACCCUCCUUUAAAAAUAGACACUCUCUCUUUUUCUCUCAUUCUCUUCUCUCUCUUCUCCCUCACAGUCAACUCCCUUCCCCCUUCUCUCUCUCUUUCUCUCUCCCUCCCUCCCUCCCUUCGAGCUCAGAUCGCCGGCGAUCUCAUCCCUG
rnacentral:lncRNA from 1 species